GUGUGGAAAAAUGAAGCAAGAUUGGAUGAGGCUAUGACUUCCUGACAGUUCUGAAAUACCAAUAUUUUCUGAUAAUGAUAUCUUUCCUUCUUUCAUGGGAAGAAAACACUUGCAUUAGUCCAUAACUAGAAAAUGGGCUAUCUUACAACUUACUGCUGUGACAUUGGAAAUAUUUAUGACAAGUAUCUGCAAGGUUCUUCAGAUUCAUAUUUAUACACACCAAAAACUACAUAAGUGUGGGUAUAAAUACACAGAAGUGUGACAUCAGACUUUGAAGGAAGGAAUCUAAACAAUGUCAAUCUUGGAAGAGUUACACUUUUAUCUACAUGGAAGCACGCUGGAGGGCCAUACAUCUCACUUAUAACA